AUUAUUAAAGGAGUUCCCGCUACUCGCGUUAGUCACCUUCCCUCCUCUUCUGCCUCAUACCAUGACGGUUUCAAAUCAAAAUCCCCCAAAUUUACUUCAAAUCUAAAUCUCUAUCCACUUUCUACAUUUUUGUUCAUCUCUCAGUAAGAUCCGUAAGUUUUCUCCCCUUCAUUUCAUUUCAAUUUAGAUGCGCACAAAUUUAUGUAUAUAUGAAUCGGUAAUUGAUUUUCCUGCAAUGUUGUUCAUCUAUAUAACUGUGUUUAUGAUAUGAAUUGAAUUAAUUCAAAUGUCAGUUCUCAAAAUGUUUAGAUGUGUAUUUGUUGGGUGUUCAUCGACCAUGACAUUUGAUAUUCUUCAUUUUCGACCUGAUUUUUCAUGAAAUAUAAGUCUAAUAAUAUGCUUGUGCAUAUCUUUAUUUGUGUGUUUAUGUAUUUUCAAUUUCCCCCCUAUAUGGAUUUUAUUUUUGAGUAUUUCUUGGUUAAAUUGUUUGUUUUUUCAAAUUGUUUUGAAUUUGCUUCUUUAGCAGUAAUUGAAAGUACUGAUUAUAAAUAUAUAGUAGUACUGAGCUUCUUCCAUUAUUGUCUUAUAUCAGGAGCUUAUAGCGACCACAUAUUGGCCAUGGGCACAUAACAAAAUAUAUAGGUGCAAUUUGAAAGCAAUAGCAAGGACUUUAUAAAUAAGUGAAAGUGUUCAGAAAAUUGCUAGGUGGCGGAGGG
rnacentral:lncRNA from 1 species